rnacentral:rRNA from 1 species
GACGAACGCUGGCGGCGUGCUUAAUACAUGCAAGUAGAACGCUGAAGGAGGAGCUUGCUUCUCUGGAUGAGUUGCGAACGGGUGAGUAACGCGUAGGUAACCUGCCUGGUAGCGGGGGAUAACUAUUGGAAACGAUAGCUAAUACCGCAUAAGAGUAGAUGUUGCAUGACAUUUGCUUAAAAGGUGCAAUUGCAUCACUACCAGAUGGACCUGCGUUGUAUUAGCUAGUUGGUGGGGUAACGGCUCACCAAGGCGACGAUACAUAGCCGACCUGAGAGGGUGAUCGGCCACACUGGGACUGAGACACGGCCCAGACUCCUACGGGAGGCAGCAGUAGGGAAUCUUCGGCAAUGGACGGAAGUCUGACCGAGCAACGCCGCGUGAGUGAAGAAGGUUUUCGGAUCGUAAAGCUCUGUUGUAAGAGAAGAACGAGUGUGAGAGUGGAAAGUUCACACUGUGACGGUAUCUUACCAGAAAGGGACGGCUAACUACGUGCCAGCAGCCGCGGUAAUACGUAGGUGGCAAGCGUUAUCCGGAUUUAUUGGGCGUAAAGAGAGUGCAGGCGGUUUUCUAAGUCUGAUGUGAAAGCCUUCGGCUUAACCGGAGAAGUGCAUCGGAAACUGGAUAACUUGAGUGCAGAAGAGGGUAGUGGAACUCCAUGUGUAGCGGUGGAAUGCGUAGAUAUAUGGAAGAACACCAGUGGCGAAGGCGGCUACCUGGUCUGCAACUGACGCUGAGACUCGAAAGCAUGGGUAGCGGACAGG